rnacentral:rRNA from 1 species
AGCAGCCGCGGUAAUUCCAGCUCCAAUAGCGUAUAUUAAAGUUGUUGCAGUUAAAAAGCUCGUAGUUGAAUUUCGGGAUCAAUACGUCUGUCGUGCCUUCGGUACGUACGGGUGUAAUUGGUUUCUACCUUCUGAGGAUCCUUGAUGUCAUUAAUUUGGUGUCUUGGGGAAUCAGGACUGUUACCUUGAAAAAAUUAGAGUGUUUAAAGCAGGCAUACGCUUGAAUACAUUAGCAUGGAAUAAUGAAAUAGGACGUUCGAUUCUAUUUUGUUGGUUUCUAGGAUCGACGUAAUGAUUAAUAGGGAUAGUUGGGGGCAUUAGUAUUCAAUUGUCAGAGGUGAAAUUCUUGGAUUUAUUGAAGACUAACUACUGCGAAAGCAUUUGCCAAGGAUGUUUCAUUAAUCAAGAACGAAAGUUAGGGGAUCGAAGACGAUCAGAUACCGUCGUAGUCUUAACCAUAAACUAUGCCGACUAGGGAUCGGAUGAUGUUAAUUUUUAAUGACUCAUUCGGCGCCUUACG